AGCACCGUACAUCACCAUGUCUGGAGAGUCAUUAGCUGGAAAAUUAAUCAGGGUGGAGAACAGCUGAAUAAAACCCCAGCCCUCAGUGUAACUUUCCACAUCCCUGGCUCAGCUGUGGAUACUAGCCAGCGCCAACCCUCAAAGGACAUCUUGGACUAUUCCCACCAGUGAAAAGGCACAAAUUGUGACUCCAUCGAUAUAUGGAGCUGCUCAAUAAAAGGAAACAAAAUCCCUCUUCUGAAACAGAUGGACAAAUUUUCUCCAACAAAGAGAAUACGGAAAUUAAGUAUCUUGCUCAAGAUCACAUAUAUUGUCAGAAUAUAUAAAAAGAGGCAGAAGUUAAAUCUAGGCCAUCCUGACUCCAAAGUGAGCCAAUCUUUCCUCCAUUUCAAUAUAUUUCCUCUUCUAAAUACUGAGAACUGACUACAUGACCAUGUACCUAGAUGGACAAAGCAUCUGUAGAUGAAUCUGAUUAUUUAUAGUAUGGUCAAAGAUUGUCCACUCUGCUCCUGUUCCCUUCUUCUCUUUGUUAUUCCAACCACUCUCUGAUGUUUGCUUCUUUCUCUUCUUCUAGGCUAUCUUCUUCACAUUGUACUAUAGCUGGUGACUUGGUUUAAUCUCUUGAUCCUACUUUCUUACCUGAUCAAUGGAGACCUCACUCUUCUCUGGCUAAAUAUCACUCCCAGAUUCUGGGGGUUAUUUAUUCUGAGCAUCUGCUUGACUGCCAUGGACCAAGAGUUUUCAACUUCUCAGCUGAGAUAGACAAUAUGUAACUGAUACUCAACAUACCCUUUUUCAGACCUCUUUCUGAGCCCCUGUUAACUCUAUCUUUCCCAGGCCUCCUCUGGUUCCUAACACAAUGUUAGGAAACAACCCAUACCUGAGUCUUGGAUUGAUUAUUUUGAGUGGGGGGCUAUUUAUCUUUUAAGCAAAACAGAGUACACCAUGCAGCAGGAAUCAGAGAGCCUGAAAACUGGUAAUUUUAAUAAUAACACUACUUUGCUUUUAUAUAGUACAUUUCAUCUGAUGUAUUCAGAGAGCUUCCAGACAUUAAUUAAAUUCGACAACACCCUGUGUGUUAAGUUGAAUUGUAAGAAAUGUGAAAGUGGAUGUCAAGAAACUGAUGUUUUAUUCUGAGCUCUUCCAUUAACAGAAUGUUUUGCCUUGGUGAUAAACUUCAUACUCCAAAGAGAGAAAGGAACCAGAGCAAAAGAAAAAGAAAGAAAGAAAAUACUAUAUAAAUUAGAAGACAGUGCUGGUUAAAGUGGAUGUCAGGAAGAAAAAACAAAGUUAUUACAAAUGGGAGAAAAAAUCAGGGAACGAGUGACUCAGGAGGUCAUUUGCUAAGGACCCCUGUGGGGCCAGGGACAGCAAGCAAACAUGCUGUACGACACAGAUCCAUAAGAAAACCUCAAAAUAAAUGAUGAGAUAAAAAUAGGGUUCUGUCUAAU
rnacentral:lncRNA from 1 species